GGCGAACGCUGGCGGCGCGCUUAACACAUGCAAGUCGAGCGAUGAAAUUUCGACAGAUCCCUUCGGGGUGAAGAUGAAAUGGAUUAGCGGCGGACGGGUGAGUAACACGUGAGUAACCUGCCUUUGACAUUGGGAUAGCCUCGGGAAACUGGGAUUAAUACCAAAUGACACUAACUGAUCACAUGAUCAAUUAGUCAAAGAAAUUCGGUCAAAGAUGGACUCGCGGCUGAUUAGCUAGUUGGUGAGGUAACGGCCCACCAAGGCGACGAUCAGUAGCCGGCCUGAGAGGGUGAUCGGCCACAUUGGAACUGAGACACGGUCCAAACUCCUACGGGAGGCAGCAGUGGGGAAUAUUGCACAAUGGGGGAAACCCUGAUGCAGCGACGCCGCGUGAGCGAAGAAGGCCUUCGGGUCGUAAAGCUCUUUUAUGAGGGAAGAUAAUGACGGUACCUCAAGAAAAAGCCCCGGCUAACUACGUG
rnacentral:rRNA from 1 species